rnacentral:tRNA from 1 species
GGGCCCUUAGCUCAGCGGUCAGAGCAGGGGACUCAUAAUCCCUUGGUCGUGGGUUCGAAUCCCUCAGGGCCCACCA